rnacentral:misc_RNA from 1 species
GCAAACUUGGUCAUUUAGAGGAAGUAAAAGUCGUAACAAGGUCUCCGUUGGUGAACCAGCGGAGGGAUCAUUACCGAGUUUACAACUCCCAAACCCCGAUGUGAACGUUACCAAACUGUUGCCUCGGCGGGAACGCCCCGGGCGCGUCGCAGCCCCGGGACCAAGGCGCCCGCCGGAGGACCAACCGAAACUCUUUUUAGAACUGUAUCUUUUUCUUUCUCUUUUUCUGAGCAAACCCCGGGCGCCCCUCGCGGGCGUUUCGAAAAAUGAAUCAAAACUUUCAACAACGGAUCUCUUGGUUCUGGCAUCGAUGAAGAACGCAGC